GAUGAAGAACGUAGUGAAAUGCGAUAAUUAAUGUGAAUUGCAGAAUUCAGUGAAUCAUCGAGUCUUUGAACGCACAUUGCGCCCCCUGGUAUUCCGGGGGGCAUGCCUGUCCGAGCGUCAUUGCUGCCCUCAAGCACGGCUUGUGUGUUGGGCUUCCGUCCCUGGCAACGGGGACGGGCCCAAAAGGCAGUGGCGGCACCAUGUCUGGUCCUCGAGCGUAUGGGGCUUUGUCACCCGCUCCCGUAGGUCCAGCUGGCAGCUAGCCUCGCAACCAAUCUUUUUAACCAGGUUGACCUCGGAUCAGGUAGGGGUACCCGCUGAACUUAAGCAUAUCAAUAAGCGGAGGA
rnacentral:misc_RNA from 1 species